rfam:Ancylostoma duodenale strain Zhejiang A_duodenale-1.0_Cont260959.1, whole genome shotgun sequence.
CCAACGGCCCUCAUUAGGGCCACAAAUUGAAUCGAAUACGUCUUUG